rnacentral:lncRNA from 1 species
AGAGUAAACAUUGUCACGAAGUGUAUGCUUGAAAUUUCAUCCAAACUUCCAAAAGUAGAUUUGACUGUCGGCGAGUCUUUGAGACGAUGAUUAAAGUACAUAUGUGAUCACGUUUUGCGCAUUUGCUACGUUUGAGACACGCUUCCCAUUUUUUUUUUCCAAAAAGGUACACGAGUAACUGAAAAAUCUUUUUGAUCAUCUUUGAUUCAAAAAUUAUCACGAGUUUCAUGUUGAAAACAAAACCAUCAAAUUUUUAUUCUCUUUUUUUUUUUUUUUUCCUUUAAGAUGGAAAGAAUUUCUUUGCAGAGAAUACGGUUCCAUUUUCUCAGAACUUCUCUAAACCAAUUGGUAGCAAUAUCCGUUUCUUCGAGAUCAUCCAUAGAUUUUUUGAUCGAUUGAUGGAUACUGAAAUCAUUCUAAAAGUAUACUACGUUUGCUCUUUUCUUUUCCUCUGAAAACAUGCUAUUAUAAAAUACAGCGGUGAAAUCAUUUUGGUUUUGGUAACAUGUUAUGAAUUUUUCAUAGUUCGUGGGUUUGAGAUAAUUUAGAUGCGUAAUAUUUUUUAAAGCAAAAUAAAAAAUAAAGAUUGAAGGAUUAAAAUUGAGGAUAUAUUAAUUGGCUUAAUGAAUAGUUUUUCCCUUAUUGUUGUAUGGUUAGCAAACUACAUGUUGAUCUUCGAUAUUCUAAAUGAAUGGUCAAAGAAAAGUAAGAUUCUCUUAAUUAAUCCCAGCUUCUAAUGAAAGUAAUUAUAGCAAUGGAAUUAAAAGACAGGCCAUCGGAGCUAGAGAGAAAAUAUUUUGGUCAAUUCAAUAAAAAAAAAAGGGAUUAAUUUAAAAGGGGAAGUGUGGAAUUUACUCUUUUGAUUGAGAGAGAAAAGAAAAUAAAAAAAAAAAAAGAAUAGAAAUAGUGCAAGUUGAGGUGGGGAUACUCUAAAAAAUGAAAGAAUCCAAGAAAAAAAUGGCAACGGUGACCAUUCAAAAACAUUGUCCAAUUCUUAUCCGCAUGACAUGCUAACAAACACAUGUUUCACACUGUUUUAUUAUCAUCAAAG